UACGGAGGGUGCAAGCGUUAAUCGGAAUUACUGGCGUAAAGCGUGCGUAGGCGGUUCGUUAAGUCAGAUGUGAAAGCCCCGGGCUUAACCUGGGAACUGCAUUUGAAACUGGCGGACUUGAGUUGAGUAGAGGGGAGUGGAAUUUCAGGUGUAGCGGUGAAAUGCGUAGAUAUCUGAAGGAACACCAGUGGCGAAGGCGACUCCCUGGACUCAAACUGACGCUGAGGUACGAAAGCGUGGGUAGCAAACAGGAUUAGAUACCCUGGUAGUCCACGCUGUAAACGAUGUCAACUAGCCGUUGGUCCUAUUUUACAGGAUUAGUGGCGCAGCUAACGCAUUAAGUUGACCGCCUGGGGAGUACGGCCGCAAGGUUAAAAACUCAAAAUGAAUUGACGGGGGCCCGCACAAGCGGUGGAGCAUGUGGUUUUAAUUCGAUGCAAC
rnacentral:rRNA from 1 species